GAACUGAAGAGUUUGAUCAUGGCUCAGAUUGAACGCUGGCGGCAGGCCUAACACAUGCAAGUCGAGCGGAUGAAGGGAGCUUGCUCCUGGAUUCAGCGGCGGACGGGUGAGUAAUGCCUAGGAAUCUGCCUGGUAGUGGGGGAUAACGUCCGGAAACGGGCGCUAAUACCGCAUACGUCCUGAGGGAGAAAGUGGGGGAUCUUCGGACCUCACGCUAUCAGAUGAGCCUAGGUCGGAUUAGCUAGUUGGUGGGGUAAAGGCCUACCAAGGCGACGAUCCGUAACUGGUCUGAGAGGAUGAUCAGUCACACUGGAACUGAGACACGGUCCAGACUCCUACGGGAGGCAGCAGUGGGGAAUAUUGGACAAUGGGCGAAAGCCUGAUCCAGCCAUGCCGCGUGUGUGAAGAAGGUCUUCGGAUUGUAAAGCACUUUAAGUUGGGAGGAAGGGCAGUAAGUUAAUACCUUGCUGUUUUGACGUUACCAACAGAAUAAGCACCGGCUAACUUCGUGCCAGCAGCCGCGGUAAUACGAAGGGUGCAAGCG
rnacentral:rRNA from 1 species